UUUUAAAAAAAUUAAAACCCGCUGCGGGUUGCGGGUGGGUUUGGUAAUUUAAAUUUUGUGCGGGUUUGGGUUUGGUAAUGGCAAACCCGCUGCGGGCGGUGCCCAUUGCCAUCCCUAAAGAUGGUGGGUACUGCUGGAGUUCGCUAGUUUUUUUCUUUGUUUGGAAAAUAGCUCCUGGAUAUUGAUGCAAUUUUAUACAUUUCGGUUGUUCUUAGGUUGGAUUUUCACGUUUGGGAACUGCUGGCCUUGUCUGAUCAGUAUUUUUGGCUCCUCUUAUGUUGCUGGAAGUGUUGCUGGAAAUGUUGCUGGAAAUGAACUAUGUUGUUGCCUUUGUUCAUGUUGGUAGAAAUGACUCUGUUGUUUGGCUUCCUUAUGCUACUGGAAUUGAACUGAUCAUUGUUAAUUUGUGUUGUACAUGCUGCUGGAAUUUAGUUCUUAGGUUGUUACAAUACUCUUCUUCUAUUUAUGUUGGACUUGUCACUCUCGAAUUUGAUUAAAUUAUGUUUGCUCACAAUUAUGAAAUCUUAGUCAAUGUUAUCCAUUUCAUUUUCUUUGUCAGUUAAUUUUUAAUUGCAAUAUUAAUUUUAAUAAUCUAAUUAAUUAGCUA
rnacentral:lncRNA from 1 species